AACUUUCGGCAAUGGAUCUCUUGGCUCUUGCAUCGAUGAAGAACGCAGUGAAGUGCGAUAUGUAGUGUGAAUUGCAGAAUUCCGUGAAUCAUCGAAUCUUUGAACGCAUAUUGCACUCUCUGGUAUUCCGGAGAGUAUACCUAUUUGAGGGUCAUUUGAAAUGACAUAAAUUCCAAGAUUUCUUGGAAUUAAAAUGGGACAUCCAGUUUCGUGGUUGCCUAAAAUGCAAGACAAGCUCAUUUCUUGGGUUGCGUGAUACUUUCAGUUACCUCGUGACUUUCCAAGGAAUUAGCGAGCGUGUCAGGAUUUUUACAAGUGAUAAAUCGAAUUUAUCUCGUGCAAAAUAAUUUAAUUGAAUCUUGACCUCAAAUUAGGUAAGAGUACCCGCUGAACUUAAGCAUAUCAAUAAGCGGAGGCU
rnacentral:misc_RNA from 1 species